UUAGUUGCUUCCCCAAUUGCAGUAAGGUAAAAUGUUUUGUAUAUUUUUGAAAAUGUCACCGUCUGUUUAUACAAUUCCUAGAUUUCAGUUGGAUGAGGCAAAGAUUGCUCGAAACCCCAUUUCUGGUUGGAUGUAAUAUAGUGCAAAACUGCAACAUUUUGGUUUUGUUUUAAAAUAGAGGGCUUUUUACAAUGACAUUUAAAAUUAAAAGUAAAUUUAUUAUAGCAGAGGUAUAACCAAGUGCAACCUUUUAUUUUGCAGUCCCAGUACAGUCUAACAAGAGCACAGCAGUCUUACAAAUCACUUGUGCAAAUUCAUGAGAAGAAUGGUUGGUACACUCCACCUAAAGAGGAUGGCUAGACCUUCAUCUGCCGUCUGCUUAUGUGCCACAAGGACCAACUUUGAUCUCAUCCCAUCUCUGAAGCCAGAUUGCCACUCCACUGAACUAACACUCUUCUGUCUGUCACUGUUCCUGAGCUUGAGAAAUUCUCAGUGCAAUCACUGACAGAGCGGCUGUGUAAUUCCGUAUAUGCUUUCACAGACGGGUUUUAAAAAAAAAAAAAAAAAAAGAGCGAGAAAAGAAAAAAGGACAGAGGCUAUACCCUUUUCUGGUUGGACCCUCACUUAUGGCAGGCUUACUUUUAUUUGUAAGACUGGUUUAUUUGAAACUACCACCAAACAAUGACUUCUCUGGGAACCCAAGACUUUCUUUCAGGCAUCCAGCAUCUUUACUUCUAUGCUAUUGAUUCUUAAUUUAUUUUUCUUUCUUGUGCACUUUCUCCUUUUUGUUAAUGUAUGAUGGUUGUGUACAAAAAGAAAGUGUAAGACAAUUACAUUUAUUAUUGACAGGAAUGCUGCCUGUCCCUUCUGUUUUUGGGAGGGGGGGUGGGGUGGGAGAAAUAAUGUCCUGCUUGUCUCUUCCGGUUUCCUUUUUUUAUGUCGCAUUGAAUGCCCCUAGAAAUUGCAGUUCUCAUUGUAUAUAACAGGCUGGCAACAAAACAUGCAACUGCAUUUUCUUCUUUUUUUUUCUGUUUUUUUUUUUUUUUUUUUUUCCCAUUUUCUGAUUUUAGAAAUUUUGGAUUGUUUGUGCGUCUGAUAAAAACUCGGAUUAUACAC